rnacentral:ncRNA from 1 species
GAAUAAGCAUAAACUGGGAGUUUUUAGGCUGGGAUAAUUUAAUUUUGGUUAUGAUUAAUUUACUGAAAAAAGUUUUGGGCAUAUGGGAGGGGAAAAUUAGAUAUGAAAUUUGCAGUGUUGGAUAAUUAGGGAGAUAGAGAGUUGUUUAUAAAAAGAGAUAAAGUCCAGGUUAAGAGCGUGCCAGCUACCGCGGUUAUACGUGUAAUGGGGCAGGUGAAUUGAGGAGAAGGGAGAUAAUUUGAGAGUGGGAGAUUUAAUAUGAGGUGAAAUUUAGUUAAAGAUGAGAAUCUCAGAUGAAAGAUUGAGGAGAAUUGAGAAAUGGGAAAAUUUAGGAUGAAGACUAGGAUUAGAUACCCUAUUAUUCUAAAUGAAAGGAGAGUAGUAGAAGGUGAUCUUGAAACUUAAAAUUUUUGGCGGUUUUGAAAGCAGUUUAGAGGAACCUGUCCUGUAAUUGAUGGUCCACAAUAUAUUUAGCUUUGAGAUAAGUAUUUAUACCGCCGUCGGAAAGGAAUUUUAUGAGAAAUUUUUGAGGAGUGGAAAGCUAGAAGGGAUGACAGGUCGAGGUGAAGCUAAUAUCAAAGGGUGAGAUGGGUUACAAUGGUGAAUUACUAUUAUGGAUAAGCUUAAGAAAUGAAAAUUUGAAGGUGGAUUUAAAUGUAAUUUAGAAUUAGGAUAUUUAUAUGAAUAAGUGCUCUUUAAAAUGUACAUAUCGCCCGUCACUCUUGUUGAGAAAUAAGAUAAGUCGUAACAGAGUGGGUGUAUUGGAAAAUGCAUCUGGAGUAAGAG